rnacentral:rRNA from 1 species
ACAGCAGUAGCCACGGUAAUACGGAGGGUGCAAGCGUUAAUCGGAAUUACUGGGCGUAAAGCGUGCGUAGGCGGUGAGUUAAGUCUGCUGUGAAAUCCCCGGGCUCAACCUGGGAAUGGCAGUGGAUACUGGCUCGCUAGAGUGUGUCAGAGGAUGGUGGAAUUCCCGGUGUAGCGGUGAAAUGCGUAGAGAUCGGGAGGAACAUCAGUGGCGAAGGCGGCCAUCUGGGACAACACUGACGCUGAGGCACGAAAGCGUGGGGAGCAAACAGGAUUAGAUACCCCGGUAGUCCCUGUCUCUUAUAC